rnacentral:rRNA from 1 species
GGGAGAAGGGGUGCCUACGAAAGUAGGCCGCAGAGAAUAGGCCCAAGCAACUGUUUAGCAAAAACACAGGUCUCUGCUAAAGCGAAAGCUGAUGUAUAGGGGCUGACGCCUGCCCGGGGCUGGAAGGUUAAGGGGAACACUUAGCGUAAGCGAAGGUGUGAACUUAAGCCCCAGUAAACGGCGGCCGUAACUAUAACGGUCCUAAGGUAGCGAAAUUCCUUGUCGGGUAAGUUCCGACCCGCACG